GAUGAACGCUGGCGGCGUGCUUAAUACAUGCAAGUCGAACGAGAAGUGAAGACGGAAACCUUCGGGCGGAAGGCUUUAUUUCGAGUGGCGGACGGGUGAGUAACGCGUGGGUAACCUGCCUCAUACAGGGGGAUAACAGUUGGAAACGACUGUUAAUACCGCAUAAGACCACAGCACCGCAUGGUGCGGGGGUAAAAACUCCGGUGGUAUGAGAUGGACCCGCGUUCGAUUAGCCAGUUGGCGGGGUAACGGCCCACCAAAGCGACGAUCGAUAGCCGAUCUGAGAGGAUGACCGGCCACAUUGGGACUGAGACACGGCCCAAACUCCUACGGGAGGCAGCAGUGGGGAAUAUUGCACAAUGGGGGAAACCCUGAUGCAGCGACGCCGCGUGAGUGAAGAAGUAUUUCGGUAUGUAAAGCUCUAUCAGCAGGGAAGAAAAUGACGGUACCUGAGUAAGAAGCCCCGGCUAACUACGUG
rnacentral:rRNA from 1 species